CAUUUAUGCUUUUGCAGCACUAGCCACAACAGCCAAGGUCUGGAAUUAGCCUGGUCAUCCAGUAUUCAGUUGUAAUAGAAGAGAGGUUCUGAGCAAGGGAGCAGGCUGCUGUGGAGACAAGGUAGCAGGCGGCGUGAAGCCUGAGGAUUGAGACAACUGUACUGUCUACAGUCUGCCCCACAUGUGGCCCCUACAUAUACAGCCACCGAAGUAGAUAAAA